AAAAAUAAUUAAAUAAUCAAAUAUACAAAUAUAACUUAUAAAAAUUGUAAAACAAAAUAAAAGCAAAGUCACACGCACUAGCAAAAGCAAAGUAACAUAACGUCAAGUCACCAACAACUUGUAAAGUCACCCAAAAGCAAAUUAACAUGACGCCAAGUCACCAACAAUUUGCAAACAAAAAACCCUAAGCUUCCUUGCCGUCACACACAUUAGCAACACUCAAUACUGGUUGGAUACACUCUCGACACAGAUUUGAAGGACAUCGGUUGCGCGAUUCCGGCGAGAGCAAGCCAUCUUCCUUCCUAAGUCCAUCCAGCCACUUCACAUUCACGGGUUCCAGCUGAACAAUUUCACUAUCACAACUUCAAGAUCACCACCCGUACGGCUUCCCCUGGUUCCCAUCGUGGACGGUUCCGUAAUCACCACUUUUCGACAGGUGCAACAGCCCUGGUGAAGGAUCAGACUGUGUUUGGUUUCCGAAACAUCGCAAUUUAAAUUAAUUGUGGCUUUAUUUGAACAAUUAAUUUCGGUGUUAUAUUAACGUAUUAUUGUAACUUUAUUUGAACAAUUAAGCUUGAUGUGUUAUAUUUUGAAACUUUGAACGUAUUAUUGUAGCUUUAUUUGAAUAAUUAGUCUCGAUGUGUUAUAUUUUGAAACUUUAAAUGUAUUAUUUUAGUUUUAUUUAAAUAAUUUAUUUAUUU
rnacentral:lncRNA from 1 species